CGGUCACACAACGGUCAAACGUAAAAUAUUCAACACCACUUUUGGUUCUCGUCGCCUUUAGCUGUACCACGAGUUUGAAUAGAAUGUCACAAGAAUUACAACGACAAACAAAAAUACGAAGCGAAAACUAUUUUGGAUAGUAAAUGUUGAAUUUGCUGUGCGUUUUUGGCGUAGAGAGCUUGGGUGCUUUCCAUUAUGCCAGAAAAGGAAAGUGGAAGGACAUUUUCCGAUCAGACCGGGCCAACCAAGAGAAAUGGCUCUUACUAUUUGGUUUUCCUUUUCCGAAUUCUUUACAUAAGUGAAGAGAAGUGGGGCAAUGAACCGGUUGGUCAAAAUGGAACGGCAAAUUUCGGUCGGAACCGAAACGGACCUUUCCAUUUGACUUCGGACCGAAAUUUCCGGAAUCUUUGGCACAAUGGAAAGCACCCUUUAAGUGUCCUAAUUUUUGCCUUGAAGUUAGCCGUUGUCUUUGGCAGCGCAUAGCUAGUUGCGUGCACACUUGUACUGAAUUUGGGACAAAUCAAAAUAUAAGAACAUUAUCCUGAACGGUGAAAGAAAAAUUCUGCUGUGCGGAUUUAAGGCUUUAAUUAGAAUCUAUCCUCUACGGCGUUACUUUUACCCUGAAAAACAAACUUCCCGUGUUUGUGAGAUAAUCUAGAAUCGGGUUCGUAUAGUGUAUAUCAGAUGUUUGAUGCGAGUUAGUUGAAAAAUAAACUGCCUAUUUCAGAAGCAGUUGCUAUGUUUACAGAGUGCUUUACAAGGUCUUUAAACGGUGAUUGUCUGUUUUUUCAAGGGCGAGAGAAAGAGGAAGAAAAAGAAGAAAAAGAAAGCUAGACAUUGGUGGGAUACCUUGUCGAAACCGCCUGCUGCUUCGGAAACUAGUGACAGUACAACAGCGGAUGAUGAUGAAGCUAAUAAGGAG